rnacentral:lncRNA from 1 species
AGAAGCCUGAAGACAGUGCUGAAUAGAAUCUAGAGGAGAGGUAAAAAUGUGAGCUUGAAAAUUAAAAGGACCAAUGUAAGCUCAUACUUGGUGGUGUAGCAGCAAUCCUACUACACCAGAGAGGGAGGCCAAAGAAUGAGUUUAGGAACAACUAGGUUACACCAGACCUUCCUUGUCUCAAAGUAAAAAGAAACAAUUUAGUAAUAUUGUAGAAACUAGGACAAAUACAGAUUUAAAUGGUUUUUAGAAGUACUUACAAGUAGACAAAACCAGAAGAGAAUGGAAGAAAAAGCCCCAAGGUGAUGACGAGGAACCUGUCUGUCAGCAAAGGGAAGUAAGCACAGCUCUUUGUACGGCCCCUGCAGCUGAGCCUGGUGUGAACACUGAUGUGGCUCUGGUCUCACCAUCUGGCCACAGGGGCAUUGUUGUGACUCCGGUGCUCCUGCUGCUUUUCCUCGGUUCAUCCUCUUCGGUGCCUUUUACAUCCAUUUUCUCUCAGCUGUUUAUGACGGUGGUGGUUCCUCUUGUCAUUGGACAGGUAAGGUUGUCUAGCUGUUAUUUUCUCGACACAUCACACUGGGAAUUCCUGUGUAAGGUCAGAGCACGAGAGGGGAGAAGGUGAAAGAAGACUGAAAAUGCACGGUUUUGGCAUUUUCAUCUUUGAACUUUCAGUUAAGCCACUCUGCUGCACAAGAAUCCCCAACAGACAGACACAAGCUGGAUUCUAGAAUCAUCCAUUCUUCUUAAGCAACAAGGACCCUCGUAUAGUUGCUUCCUCUGACGUUGUUAUAUAACUUACUUAUAAGCAUGCGUAUGCAAAAUCAGGGUCUUCUUUGUUGGUGAUUUAUUAAUUUGGGGGUGUGAGGCAGGGGAAGCCACCAUUGUGGGGACGAGAGUUUACGAACGAACAUGGUUGGUCUUAGAGGCAUAGUCUACAAGGAUGCCUCCUAUUCACAGACUGUAAGAGCAACCGGACUUUAAAUUUAUUUCUACCCUUCAUCUGCUGGAUGACCUUGGGCAAGUCAUUUUAAUAUCCCUAGCUGCCAGUCACAAUUUAUUAAAUAUUAUAAUUAAAGUACCUCAAGGUAUUAUUGUGAACUAUUGACGGGUGUAAAGUUCUUGCAGUAUAGUCUGACACAAUGAACACUCUAUGUCGUCACUUGUCAUCAUCGUCAUCAUUAUCAUCAUCACCACAUUGUUUGUGUAUGCCAAACAGGAAGCAACCCUUUCAAAUGUGGUCCAUAAAUAUGACAUCCAUACACAUAGUGCUUAGUGCUGUCUUCAAUGGGGUUCUGUUGGCGGAAGAUUCUGAGGCAGGUUGAAUACAAGAAAUGCAUAGGGGUGAAAGGAGCAGGGAGGGGAAGCUGUUUCCCACCAAAGCCUUCCACAGCCUGUCCUAAUGCCUCUCUCUGGGGCUGGGCCGACUCCUCUGAGUGGUUAGUCUUCAUGUUUUCUCACAGUCAUUUCAGGCUGGCCUCACUCAAACCCAUAGGAAAGAAGCAGCAAACAGAGCAGGUAGAUCCAUACAGAACACCAUAGCAGCCACCACACAGACACUCUUACAAUUAACUUUAAACUUAGAAAAUAGGCUAAAUUUAGUGUAAUUGGGGUGAUUUAAAAGCAAUCAAAGAUUAUGACUUCAUUAAAUACAAAAUAAAAUUGAAAAAUACAUCCCCAUGCCAAUUACAUAAUGAGGAUUUUGAAUAACCAUUUGCCCUGCUGCCUCUGUAGCCUCUGCUCUGUUUCUCACCUGACUCACCUGGACCUUUCUCAGUCUCCGUUCAUUCCUUCGGAUGGAGCUCACUCCUGCCCACCUCCCACCCAGCUUAUUACUCGCCUGACUCUUGAACUCACCUCUCAUUUGAACGGUGCAGUGCUCCCCCAUUUCACUGCUUAGCACCCUGGCCAACUCCUGACUCAGCCUUUCUCAUGAUGUGUGUUUAUCCUGUGAGCUUUGUGACUGUUUCCUGUGCGGCAUGGCAAGCACAAUGUGUUUAGAAGCCAUGUUUAUUUCAUUUCCCAUUAUAUUCCCAGGCUACAGGUUCAUCCAGUAAGUGUAUGUAGAAUGCAUGAAUGAAUGUAUGAAUGAAUGAAUCAGUCAGUCAAUGAAAAGAAAACAGGAAACUGUUUCCAUGAGGUGUACUCUGGUCUUAUUGAGGCAUAAGCACCCCUCUCUGCCCCCAUUUCUCCGUUGUGAACAGCAUCAGUGUGCAUUCAUGCUUCCCAUAACAACUUGGAACACAUAAUUCUUCUACUAAUGGCUCUUGGAAAAUCUAUAUUAACAAUAAAUUCUUGGCUUAACAUAUGGACAAAAACAUGCACAUAAUUCAGUCUUUAAAUAUAUAGAGUACUGCACCAUUUAUGCAAAGAAUCUUUACCCAGAGAGGAUAUUGGGUUGCUACAUUGCUCAUCCUCUGUGCCCAGUAGUGAAGCAUUCAGUAAAGUAGGAAAGGCAGCCAAAAGGUAGUAUGAGUAGCUUUUUUAAAAUUGAAAAUAAAUUUUAUCAAACAGUAUAUGCUGAUCACACGUUCCCCUCCUGCAGCUCCCAGAUCCUCCCUCCCACCCGACUCAUCCAGCUCCUUACCCAAAUGGGCUGACUGAAAACUAACAAAGCAGAAUAAAACAG